rnacentral:rRNA from 1 species
GACGAACGCUGGCGGCGUGCUUAACACAUGCAAGUCGAACGGUAAGGCCCUUCGGGGUACACGAGUGGCGAACGGGUGAGUAACACGUGGGUGAUCUGCCCUGCACUUUGGGAUAAGCCUGGGAAACUGGGUCUAAUACCGAAUAGGACCAUGGACUUCACGGUUUGUGGUGGAAAGCUUUUGCGGUGUGGGAUGGGCCCGCGGCCUAUCAGCUUGUUGGUGGGGUAAUGGCCUACCAAGGCGACGACGGGUAGCCGGCCUGAGAGGGUGACCGGCCACACUGGGACUGAGAUACGGCCCAGACUCCUACGGGAGGCAGCAGUGGGGAAUAUUGCACAAUGGGCGCAAGCCUGAUGCAGCGACGCCGCGUGA